AUUUGCUGUUGUAGGACAAGGACAAUUCUGAUUUUCUCCCACACAAUGUCUUGUGUCCUGUUGGAAAGAAAUUUUCAUGGUUUAAAUUUUUUGUUGGGAUUUUUUUAUUUGUCUUUUAGCCAUAACUUUAGGUGUGCAUAUUUGCUCGAAUCUUCUUGGCAGGGGCAUUGCAAUGCCUAUUCUAAUGACAAGCGAUCUUUGGACUGAUAAUUGUGCUGAAGAGUAUGGUUAGUUCAGGAUGUUGACUACUUGGUGCACCUUUCAUGUGUAAAUUUUGAAAAUCCAGUGACUCUUAUACAGGGAGGUACCGUUUGAAAGUCUGAGGAACUGUUCAGUCCAAUGUUCAAUGAAUAUCUUUUCUUGUCUUCUUCCAUCUUUUAUGCUCAAAUUCUGCAUCGAGCUCAUUAUGUGUUUAUUGAUCUGACCAAGCACUGAUGUGGUGCUUGUCUGAAAUGCAGCUUUUGUUUGUUUUUGUGGAGCAAGACAAUGAGGAAGUUGGCAAACCUGUUGCCAAUUAGUUUUGGUGUUACUGGACAAGAGCCCAAAGGAAUGCCUCAUAUGUUCUUGCUUACAGUGGGAAUGAAGAUGCUAAGAAGUUUUUCCUCAGUGGUAAAAUGUCAAUGGACAGCAUUAAGAUAAUUGCUGAAAUAUGCUUAGAAAGUCGGUCGUAGGAGUGUGGUCAACAGUUGCUAGGGAAUAUCUCCUAUGUUACAAAUUUUUAGCAGACGUGCCUGUUUCAUUGGAUAUUUCUGCUCAUAUAUUUGUGCAUGUUCUCAUAUUUCUCCAAAUUAUCACAUUUCUGCUGAGAAUACAUUUUUCAGCCACUACAGUGGACAGCUAAGGAGGAUGAAU